rnacentral:sRNA from 1 species
UGUGGUCAGGAUGGCGACAGAAACUAAUUAAGUGUCUGGAUGACCACUAACAAAAAUAAUGCAGGGAAAGCAGAAAAAAAAGAAGGAUACCGACCGGGAAAGUCGCAUAGCAAGUAAGGAUACUUGGAAUCAGAAUAGGGUGCAAAAUGCACCGUUU